GUGACCUAGUGGUUAGAGCGUCUGCCUCGGAUGCGGGAGGUCGCGGGUUCGAACUCCGGUAAUCA